rnacentral:rRNA from 1 species
CCUACGGGGGGCAGCAGUAGGGAAUAUUCCACAAUGGGGGAAACCCUGAAGCAGCAACGCCGCGUGGAGGAUGAAGGUUUUCGGAUUGUAAACUCCUGUUGUUAGAGAAGAUAAUGACGGUAUCUAACGAAUAAGCACCGGCUAACUCCGUGCCAGCAGCCGCGGUAAUACGGAGGGUGCAAGCGUUACUCGGAAUCACUGGGCGUAAAGAGCGCGUAGGCGGGAUAGCAAGUCAGAUGUGAAAUCCUAUGGCUUAACCAUAGAACUGCAUUUGAAACUGUUAUUCUAGAGUAUGGGAGAGGUAGGUGGAAUUCUUGGUGUAGGGGUAAAAUGCGUAGAGAUCAAGAGGAAUACUCAUUGCGAAGGCGACCUGCUAGAACAUAACUGACGCUGAUGCGCGAAAGCGUGGGGAGCAAACAGGAUUAGAUACCCCAGUAGUC